rnacentral:ncRNA from 2 species
AUCUUUGUGCGAUUUCCAGGUGCAGGCGCCAUUGUCAAUGGCGUUGCUUAAUUGGGAACUCCGUGAAAACCGGAGACUGUCCCCGCAACUGUAAGUCCCGCAAAGGUUCAGAUAAGCUUCGUAGCCACUGUGCGCAGCAUGGGAAGGCCGAUCUGAACGGGACGAGUCAGGAGACCAGCCUGUUGAGCAGAGUUAUG